ensembl:lncRNA
UGGAGCUGUAACAGAACUUUAUUCACUGGAACCUGGGCCAGGCAGACCCCUCAGGGAGCUGCGUGCCCCUCUGCCCCGGCACCCUCUAUAUUUGGACCCUAGUGACAUGAGCACAGUCUGCCCUCUGCAGGGCCAGGAGAGACAAACAGAAGGGGAAUGCGUUUUUCUCUGUGAUGUGGGGAGUGAAAGGGAUAAGAGUAGAAAUCCGGCAGUCCCUCCUGAGGCUCCCAUAGUGCUGGGGCGCCAGAGGGUACAUGGUCCCAAGGCCAAGUGCAAAAGUGCACACGCACGCACACACACACACCCCCGCACACACACACACCCCUGGGGCUUAGCUCCUGAUCCCAGCUCUUGGGUCAGACUGGGAGGGGGCCUCAGAAGAGCAUGCCAGGUAGAAGUGGCAGCUGUAAGGGCACCGGAGAGAUACAACCCUCAAAGCCUGCAGGGACUCAGAACCCCAGCUGAAAGCAAAGUUCAAGAUCAUUCCAAGGCCCUUGAGUUGCCAAAACAUCCAAACGACACUGAUGUGCAUGGCUGCAGAAGCUGGGGAGGAAGGAGAGUGGGAGCAGGGAGAGAACCUACAAAUCCCCAACAGAAAAACCAGAAGCGCAGGGGAGCCCCAGACACUGGCAUCUGGCACCUGGCAAGCCGGAGGACAGUCCACGGCAAAGAGUCUCAGGGUCUUGCAGAGCGACACACUCAACACCCUCCGUGUCACAGGGACCCUGUGGGGAAAAGUGGUUCCCCUGCCCCCACCCAAGCCAGAGUCUUCCAGAGUCUCCCAUCUCAGUAUCCUGAACCCAUGGCUUAGAGGUUCUGGCAUGAUGGCCGUGAGGGCAGGAGGGGAUUCAAGCCAGGCCCCAGAGUUCAGGUGUUAAUGCUGUCCUAGAGCAGGUGGCCACGUGGAGCGUGGAGGGUGGGCAGGGAGGGAGAGUCUUCAGAGGUAGACAUUGAGGGUCUGCAGGAUGCCCCGGCGGCACAGAGGGCAGUUGCGGUGGUAGACGGGGUGGCGCAUCAGGAUCUCAGUGCAGGCCUGGCACAGGCACAGGUGCCGACACGGCAGAAGCAGCACUGUCUUGCUCUGAUCCUGGCAGAUAACACACUUCUUCCGCUCCUCUUGCUCCUUCAGCAACUUCCACGGGUCUUGCCCAGCUAUAGGCUCCUCCACAUUGAGCCUCUCCCGGCCCCGGGCAGCUGUCAUUCUGGCCAUCCUGACCUCCUCCCCUUCCGCCUCUGUUCUGGGCCCUGCUUCAGGGAGAGUGUCCUGUCGCCAGGUCCUGUCAGAGGGCACCCUCCUAGGGCCACCCUGGGGGGCCCCAGGUGCCCCUCCUCGGUUUGGCCAGCUCGCCAGCUGCAAGCUACGGCUCCAGACUCGGCGCCAUGCCUCCAAGCCCAGUGCUAGACGAGAAAGCCGCACAACAUCCUCUCUGAGCCGGUGGUAGGAUGGCCGGGCAUGAAGCUGGCUGAAGGCCCGACUGGCCAGCCUCAAGGUGAGGUCCGGGUGCAACACAGUCACCGUCACUGCCAGCACACAAGCCAGCAGUGCCAGGCCGGUGAGAUUGACAAGCACAAAGCUGGCCAGGAAGCGGGCAGCUGAGGCCAGGAGCUCCAGUACUAGUUGGCAGGGGGUCCAGAGGAGGAUGGACAUGGCCACAGCACUGCUGGAAAUGUGGGCUAGGAAGGCAGCCACCACAUCUGUCAUCCUCCACAGAGGCCCCAUCACUGCAUCCCACAGGGCCAGCACCAGGGAGAAGAGGUUCUGAGUGCCAAUGAGACAGAUGUUGACCAGGCUGUUGAUCACGUAGGCCACCAGGCUCAUGGUAAUGGCACAUAUGUCACAGGCCUGGCGCAGCAAAGCAUGGCCACUGGAGACCAUAUUCAGGACGCCCCGGUGCAGGAUCUCGCGGCUCCUAAGUGCCCCAUGAGAGGCCAGAUGCCCCAGGAGCUUUAAGCUCUCCAGGCCAGAAUAGCAACUGUAGAGUACUGUACACAAGGCCUGCAAGCCCCCAAAGGUGAAGCGGACCACGGUUUCGAUCAAGGCCAGCAGUGAAAGCAAGACUCCGCGGCCCAAGUGUAGAAGACUAGUCAGUACCGUGUGUGGCAGGUUGUAGAUGAAGGCCAGGAGCCAGGCCAGGGAAGCCAGGAGGGAGGACACCAGCAGGAAGUUGAGGUCCAACACCAAGGUCAGCACAUCCAGCAACAGGCCCACCCCAUUCACUACUAGAUACACAGCCUCCAUGAUAGGGGCUAUGGGGAUUAGUACAAAAUGAAAUCUGGCUCCCGGUUAGAAGGGUGUCACGGUGGUCAAUGUUUAAGGGGCGGGGGAAAGGGGGUCAGGGAUUAAUUUGUAAGGGAGGUGAGAAGUCUCCAAUCCAGGGAGAAUCUGAGGAAGAAGCCAGUUAGAAGGAAGUGGAGACUCAGGGGAGGGAAAGGGGGCCAGGUACCGGUCCAGGAGUCCCGGUUUUGAAGGAAGGCUGUUUGGGAGGGAAGAGGCCAAACAUCUCUAAAGUGAAGGUGAUCCCGGGCUGGAGGAGAAACCUCAGCUUUGGAGGCCUGGUGGUGGCGUACCACGGCCGGGCAAUGGGUCAGCCCGAGAGGAGAUCGGGAACCGAAGGGAUGGGGUCAGGCCGGGGCCGGGUGGGGGCGGCGCAGGCUGGGCGCGGACUCGCGGUCCAGCUACGCAGGUGCCCCUGUCCCCGCCCGGCCCCCGUCCUCUGGGCUCGCGGCGCUUUGCGCUCGAAGGGGCAGUGGGGAAGGGAGCCUCAGCAAACCCUAGGCGCGGCCUCUACUCCUCUGGGUGCCGCCAUCUUGUGUGC